UAGGGAAUCUUCGGCAAUGGACGGAAGUCUGACCGAGCAACGCCGCGUGAGUGAAGAAGGUUUUCGGAUCGUAAAGCUCUGUUGUUAGAGAAGAACGUUGGUAGGAGUGGAAAAUCUACCAAGUGACGGUAACUAACCAGAAAGGGACGGCUAACUACGUGCCAGCAGCCGCGGUAAAACGUAGGUCCCGAGCGUUGUCCGGAUUUAUUGGGCGUAAAGCGAGCGCAGGCGGUUCUUUAAGUCUGAAGUUAAAGGCAGUGGCUUAACCAGUGUACGCUUUGGAAACUAGAGGACUUGAGUGCAGAAGGGGAGGGUGGAAUUCCAUGUGUAGCGGUGAAAUGCGUAGAUAUAUGGAGGAACACCGGUGGCGAAAGCAGCUCUCUGGUCUGUAACUGACGCUGAGGCUCGAAAGCGUGGGGAGCAAACAGG
rnacentral:rRNA from 1 species